ensembl:lncRNA HERC2P3 HERC2 pseudogene 3
AGAACAUUCGAAAUGUUUUGGUGGAUGCCAGUGCCAAAUUUAAAGAGCUUGAAAUGUCAGUGGGUGCCAAUGCUCACUAGGUAUCCAGCCGGUUCCCCUGCAAACCAUCACCAAUGAGAACCCAUCGGGACCGAGCUUGGGGACCAUCCCGCAAGCCCACUUCCUCCUGGUGAUGCUCAGCAUGCUCACCCUGCAGCACAGCGCAAACAACCUUGACCUCCUGCUCAAUUCCGGCACGCUGGCCCUCGCUCAGACGGCACUGCGCCUGAUUGGCCCCAGUUGUGACAGCGUUGAGGAAGAUAUGAAUGCUUCUGCUCAAGGUGCUUCUGCCACAGUUUUGGAAGAAACAAGGAAGGAAACGGCUCCUGUGCAGCUCCCUGUUUCAGGGCCAGAACUGGCUGCCAUGAUGAAGAUUGGAACAAGGGUCAUGAGAGGAUAGGCCUCCUCCAGGCCUAGGCCGAGUGAUUGGUGAGCUGGGAGAGGACGGGUGGAUAAGAGUCCAGUGGGACACAGGCAGCACCAACUCCUACAGGAUGGGGAAAGAAGGAAAU